rnacentral:rRNA from 11 species
GAAUGCUGACAUAAGUAACGAUAAAGCGGGUGAAAAGCCCGCUCGCCGGAAGACCAAGGGUUCCUGUCCAACGUUAAUCGGGGCAGGGUGAGUCGACCCCUAAGGCGAGGCCGAAAGGCGUAGUCGAUGGGAAACGGGUUAAUAUUCCCGUACUUGGUGUUACUGCGAAGGGGGGACGGAGAAGGCUAUGUUGGCCGGGCGACGGUUGUCCCGGUUUAAGCGUGUAGGUGUGUGUUCCAGGUAAAUCCGGUUCACUUUAACACUGAGGCGUGACGACGAGGCACUACGGUGCUGAAGCAACAAAUGCCCUGCUUCCAGGAAAA